AAAAAGCUCUAAAUUCAUAUUUUGAUAUUAAAAUUGCAUAUUUUCGCAUCUAGCAACACUAGCUUUUUGGCGCAUGCGCGUCCUUUGGAUCUUCCUUCGUGCAUUUUCAAGCUGCAUUUUUCUCUCGUCGUUCGCUGGUGACCGUUGUUGCUCUGCAGGAAACCAUUUUGUGGGUGAAUCAAAGCCAAGAAAACUGGAGUUGCGGCUCAAAAACACGACAACAAGACGCGCAAGGCCCCAGGUGCAGCUGGGAUAGUUGAAAAUACAAGGAAAGUGCGGCGGAAAAGCCGAAAACACGGACCAACAACGCCGCUGAAAAGUGGGAAAAAAAGGCUACCGAGUACCGAGUACCGAGUGGUGGAGUGAGUGGGAGCUGGAAAGAGCCCGCAAGUGGUGGGUGUUGUGCACUGGUGUGUGUGCGUUGCUCCAAAUUCGCGGCGUCGGCGCAGGAACUCGAUGGGGCUCUUUCUCUCUUGGCGAACGGAACAGGAUAUUUUAUUAUACUGAAAUUCGUACGCAGGAAAUUCGCAUAGUUGUGAAAGCUUCGUGCUGGCACACGGACGCAGUUCGCAUUCCGUUGCUGGGCUCCUCGCACCCGCACCCGCACUCACCCGCGCGCACUCACACACUCGUCCCCCAUCGGCGAUACUCGGCCGAAAAUCAAUUUAGGCAAGAUAAGCGCCUGGCGCUCCACAGUGGCAGCUUUUCCGUCGAAACAUGCUGAAGUUAACUCAUAAAUUGCGCAAAAAAACCCGCAGCAAAAAAGUGACUGCUGCGGUGGACACAAAUUUGUGAAACGCAACGGGCAUCGGGCAACGGGCAACGAAACGCAACGAACGCGAGGAGAGAGGCAGCGCAGAAGAGGAUGCGAGGAUGUACUUUCAAGUCAAUGACCACCGAACCAGCAAUUUAUCAGCUUCAACGACCACAACGUAGCUCCAACAACCAGCCAGCCUCGCAUCUCGCCAUUUGGGCAUUUGUGCAUUUACAGUUAUCUCACUGCCGCAGCAUCAGCGGAAAGUAGUCCCGAAUCGGAGCCACAACUAUUCAGUAUACGAGCAGGCCAGAGCCACCGCACUGCAAAGAGCGGAGCACUUGCGGUCCAGAGAGCGAGAGAACGAGUGCAUCCUCCACACUACAGCGGCACACUUACGACUUCUCCUCCACCGUCUAAUCGGCUCCUGCUCCUGCACUUCUGCUCCCGCUGUCAUCCAGUGGCUGUCAUCCGCAAUUUGUGAUCUCAUGUUUUCAUAACUCGGGCGGCCGCUGGCACGGAUUAGGAAGAACGUCAACGUCGGGCGCCCUGUUCCUGCUCCAACUGCAGGAACUCACAACGAGCAACGAAUAAAUCGAACUUGCAUUUUUAUAUCGUAUUUUUGUAAGAAACCAAAUCGGAACGUGUUCAGCAUUCAGCCAAUGCCAUCGAAUCCAACUCGGUUUGGAAGAGAAGUCAACCGAGCGGGCAAUUAACAGAGUUGCCUUCAAACGAACCCCCACCACCCCACAGGCGGAACGCAGAAGGAUAUUCCCCAAUCGGAUCCCCACUAAUAAAUGCAGUGGAAGAAGAAGUUUACUCGAUUAAAAGCGGCUACUGGAAAUUCGCGUGUGCGAAGAAUGCUUUGUUGUGGACGUAGAAAGGAGAAUGGAAGAUCAGUUCCUGAUGUCACUGCCAGUCCGGGUAGAGCACCUCCAGGCCCGCUGCCAGCCAAUCAGCUAUCCUCGCUGGGCAACCAACAGCCGCACCAUGGGAACCAGCAGCACCACGGGAACCAUGCGAACCAGCAGCACCACGGCAACCACCGCGGCCAUAGCGGCAGUCUGUCAAAUGCGGUGGGCGCCAAGGAUCCAGUGCUGUUGCAAGGCGACUUCCGCAAGGUCAGCGGCAUCAGCUCGGAGAUCUUUCGGCAGAUAGAGGCCGUGGAGAAUGACCACGAUCCUAAUACGGCGGCGGCCCUCGAAGCGGUGGAGAGGCGCGGAGAGAUGAUUGUGCGCAUUCUAGAGCCCCGGUGCAUGGGCAGCAAGCCGGCGGUGGACGCAGCCCACAAACUGAUGAACAAGGCCGAUGGGCGGCAUACGGUGCAACUGGUGGAAAUCGUCAAGCGCCCCGGCCAGACACUGGGUCUGUACAUCCGCGAAGGGAAUGGAGCCGACCGCACCGAUGGCGUUUUCAUCUCCCGGAUCGCUUUAGAGUCUGCCGUUUACAACAGCGGCUGUCUGAGGGUGGGUGAUGAAAUCUUGGCGGUUAACCUGGUGGACGUCACCCACAUGUCCCUGGACGAUGUCGUUAUCAUCAUGUCAAUUCCACGACGACUGGUGCUGGCCAUUCGCCAGAGGCGUGGCAACCGAGGCACUGGCUCCCCGGGACCUCCAACUCUUUCCAGGCCCGAGCAAAAGCCGCCACCGGUAGUGGUAAUCAAGCGUGAUCUGCGCGACGAGGAUCUGGACGAAACUGAUCGGAUGCCAAGGCCGCGAUCAUCACGUGAUAGACGUACAGGUAGGGACGGCCGCGAGAUGACGGAGUCCAGAUCCCGCUUGGGUCUGGGUCUGAACAACUACAGUCCACAGUCGGAGCAGCUGGACAUGUACUACAAUACAAGAGGAGGUGCCGGCGGAGGAGGGCCUAUGGGAGAGCCUCCUAACUGGGGAUACAAACCACCACCCCCUCCAUCAUCCGUGAUUACGGAGCAGCCCACAAAAGGACACGCCUUUGCGCCAUCUCAUGCCUACUACCAAAAUGCGGGAACUCUAGAGAGUUUAGCAGAGAAGGUGCACGCAUUUUACCCAGGAGCACCCGGUGGACCACCUGUAGGGCCCUCUCGGCGAAUGUCCACUGGCACCGGCAACGUGGGUCUGGCCCAACAGCACGCUAGGUUUCCUCGAUCGGGCUCGGACCAGCACCUCCCCCGCGUUGAAUAUGCAGAUUACUCGAACUCUCUGGGCCGCCACUCUUUGCUCCGUUCCAGCUUAAAGCCAGGAACGGCUGGAGGAGCUCCUCUUCCAGUGGGCGUAGGUGGCACACUAGGGCGCUAUGGCCGCUACGAUCAGCAGAGGAGCGGCGGCGUCUCCAAGUACGGUCCGCCGGCUGCAGGAGCCCAGUCUCUGACUCGCCGUUCCAGGCCGAACCUGGACUACUCCAGUGACACAGAGGCUACGAUUGGUCCACGAUCGAGCUACUACUACUACAACCGCCCCGCCAUCGCAAGCAUGCCAAGAGGAUCAGGUGGCGGCGGAGGAGGGGCAGCCGCCGCCGCAGCCAUGCUGGCAGCGGAUCAUCUUAACAAAUUCAACUCGUUGCCUCGCGAGCGACCCGGCGUCCGACUGCAGGGAAUGCGAUCGCGAAUCGGUGAUCGUCUAGUGGACGAAAACGAUGGCAAUACUUCGGCACCGGAGUUCGACGCGCGGCGGGGCAGGGAUCUGCGCCAAAGAAUCACUGCUAGCCCGUCGAUAUUCACGGCGGACGAGUACCGUGCUUGGCUGAGGAGGGCGCCGAGCAGCUCAGCCAUUGCGGAGCAAAUGCGGAUGACACGAGACAUGUUUGCCCAGCCACGGGCACAGAGGUUCUCGUGCAGUGCCGAAAAUAUUCACGAUGUGCUUAGAAACACGGAAAGCAUCUACUCGAGCAGGAACCACAUCCUCGGCACCGGCACUUUAGAUCGCAAUAUGGGCCUCACCCGCCCUAUCUCGGCGCUGCCAGUGAGAUCUAUGUCCUCGCAGCAUAUCGGAGGCGCAGGUUCCAUCCGCUCGCCCAGCAUACGCCGCAUGCGGCAGUUACUGGAGCUCUCCGCUGGACCGGCCAGUCCUAGUGGCAGCAUAAUGAGCACUGGGGGCCACCAAAGUCCUGCACCUACACCAAGUGCUACGCUGCCGCGUCCCCAUCGCCAGAUCGACAUCAAUCCGGCGGAGUUUGCGAAGUACAAGCUGGACAAGCCCAUUGUAGACAUGGGAGGUGUCUCCGGCAUGCUAUGGAUUCACCUUCUUGCUGGUCGCGGCCUGAGAACAGCUCCAGAAGGAGUAGGUCCCGGAGGAGCAGCACCACCGGGACAAACUCGAGAUCUCUACUGCGUUAUUGAGUGCGACCGCGUGCACAAGGCUCGCACGGUAGUGCGAUCUGGUGACCUGCAGUUCGACUGGGACGAGUCCUUCGAGCUGGACUUAGUGGGCAACAAACAGCUCGACGUGCUGGUUUACUCCUGGGACCCGCAGCACAGGCACAAACUGUGCUACCGCGGGGCCAUUUCACUAUCAGCCAUUCUGAGGCAGUCUCCCUUGCAUCAGCUGGCUCUCAAGGUGGAGCCCAGAGGCACUAUCUACAUCCGAAUGCGUCACACGGAUCCCCUGGCCCUCUACAAGCGUCGCGGACUGCCCAGCUUACGGGCCGGUUACCCGACCCUAUUCGGAGCUGACCUCGAGUCAGUGGUGAAUCGAGAGUCUAAGGGUGCGCCCGGCUGUGCACCAGUACCCAUCGUUCUGCGGCGAUGCGUGGAGGAGGUGGAACGUCGGGGGCUUGACAUAAUCGGGCUGUACCGACUGUGCGGUUCUGCCACCAAGAAGCGACUGCUGCGCGAGGCCUUCGAGCGCAACAGCCGCGCAGUGGAAUUGAGCCCGGAGCAUGUUCCUGACAUCAACGUCAUCACCGGGGUGCUCAAGGACUACCUCAGGGAGCUUCCAGAGCCACUGUUCACUCGAUGUCUUUUCCAAAUGACGGUGGAUGCUUUGGCUGUCUGCCUGCCAGAUGACCCAGAGGGCAAUGCGAAACUGAUGCUUAGCAUCCUCGACUGUCUGCCGCGGGCAAACCGGGCCACGCUUGUGUUCCUGCUCGACCACUUGUCGCUGGUGGUGUCCAACUCGGAGCGGAACAAGAUGUCCGCCCAGGCGCUCGCCACAGUGAUGGGCCCCCCGCUGAUGCUGCAUUCGGCGAGUGCGCAACCGGGCGCUGACAUUGAUCAUGCCCAGCCGAUCGCGGUGCUGAAGUAUCUUCUCCAGAUCUGGCCGCAGCCGCAGGCGCAGCAUCAGCAGCUGGCGCAGCACAUGGCCGGCGCUACAGGGGCGAUGCUGUCCGGUAUGGCCACUGCCGGCAGCAUGAGCAAUAUGGCCGGCGUUGCUUCAGGUCGGCGCGGCGAGUCAACAGGGCAGCGUGGAAGCAAAGUCAGUGCGUUGCCAGCGGACAGACAGGCACUCCUUCUGCAGCAGCAGGCGCAGCUCAUGGCGGCGGGCAACCUACUGCGCUCGUCCACUUCGGUAACCAACAUACUCUCCCAAGGCCAUCCUCAGCUCUCAGCCACAGCCAACAGUCAUCUGUAUCAAUCAGUAGUGGGUCAGUUAGCUCAAUCGCAUCGAGCCUUGCAACAAGCGGUGCAACAGCCCUAUCAAUUGGGGGCCUCAGUGGUCUCAGCAAUUCCCGACCCAUCGCCACUGCCACUUCCCGGCACACCCUCCCCAGGCAGUAGUUCGGCCUCGACAGGAUCAGGCUCCGGAUCGGGAUCGGGAAAAAGCACGGAUACCAUCAAACGCGGCGCCUCGCCCGUCUCCGUGAAGCAAGUCAAAAUCAUCGACCAGCCGGCCAGCCCUUACUCCAUCGUGCAGAAGAAGCCUCCCCUACAGAAGGACGCGCCUGUGGACAUCAUCACGCCCACCACCAGAUCGGAUACAGCCUCAAGUUUGGCUAGUAAGGAAAACGGAGGGUCAAUCACCCUUAAGUCAAACGUAGAAUUUUAUGAAACGCACAAGACACUGGCUCCAGAGGCAGCCGCAUACAGCUCCAAAUACUCUAGUCUGGAGGCCAAAAAGAGCAGCUACGGGAGCAGCAGCUACACACCAAGCAAGUCUGCCGGCAAUGGCCUCUCCGCUGCCGAUGACUAUAAAGCUAUGAGGAACAAGUCAAGUGCCACUUCGAGCUCCAGCUCCUCCCAGGCAACUGUGCUUAGUGCGGGGUCCACGGCCACAUCGGCUCCGACAACCUCCUCCGAUGACUCGGAUGACUUAGUGUCCUACAAGUCCUCAGCUUCCACGAACGCCCUGCUCGCCCAAUCGCAGGCUAUGACCACCAGUCAGCUGAUGUCCAAGUAUCUCAAGCGGGAACCGCGGGUGCAAUUUACUCCGAUCAAGUCUCCAGACUCGCCGUCGCCGCCAGGAGGUGGCGAUGGUCUACCCAAGGGAACAUACCAGCUAGUAACACCCACAUCAAGUGGUCCAUCUACCAAGCCGGGAGUAACCACAGGAGCGAUUAGCAAGUACACCACUAGCACUAACUCGACGGACUCGAGCCAAAAGAUGUCCUCCCCCUCACGACUGUCCAGUGCUAAGGAUGCCAAAACUACCACAGGCUCUACCACAGGCUCUACCACCACCACCUCCUCAUCCUUGGUGUCCACAGGAAGGAGACUAUUCGACAGUCUUGCCUCCUCCUCGUCCUCGGAGACGGAGACCAAGACCUACAUUGGAGGCACCGCAAGCGACAUAAGGAGCGCAGAAGGCAUAAAUAGGGAAGGGUAAAAUUGGCCACAUCGACAGGGUCUUGUGAGAUGAGCUUUGCGAAUGUUGGAUAUUCCUUGAAUCUGGACCAUAAGCUUUGUGGAGAAAAUGAUGAAAUUAGCCACGAAGACUGACGAUUCUGGGAAGAAACACAUGCUACUGACAAUCGGGAAAAAGUCACUCAGAAACGCAUCCAGCUACGAAUUAUGGAUUAAGGAAGCAGAAACAUACCAACAAACAGUGCGGAAGUUCGAUUAGCAGUAGAAAAAUACCCUGCUAUUAUCAUUUAAACCUUUGUAAAACCGGUCCAUUGUAAUUGGAUAUAAGAAUUGGACUACGAUGGAGAAAAUCUAAAAAAAUCUGGAUAUUUGUGUCUCGAUUUUUUGCAUUGACGAGUUUUGUUCGAAUUAUAUAGCCUUCCUGCACGGCAAGUACUUCCGAAUUGUUCACAAAAACUGGCGCUUCUAUUCCAACCUACCAACUAACGAUAAGAAAAAUAUUUAAUCAAUAUUAUGUAAAUUAUUGUUACUGGGAUUGAGCACUGAAGCGAAUUGCAAAGAGUUAUAAACUUGGCCGAGAAGUAAUCUAUUGCCUUCACUGUCGCAUCUAAACGAGGAUAGCCGUAGCAGACUCUGAUUCGAGAUCCACAAAUUUCCGGAAUGUAUAAUUUUUAUCUUGACGGCUCUACUGUCCCUUUUUGUGAGACGUUGGCAUCACAGCUCACCAGAAGAUGAAGGAGUUUUAGUAUACCAUUCCAUGACUUUUCCUAAAGCAUUGAACCGAUUGUAUCAUUUUUAAAAACUUUUUGUAUAUGUCGUAGAAUGGUUAGUUUGUCCAUAGUACAUGUGCGUACAGCUUUGGUGUGGCGACACAUUGUCUAGUAGUUGUGCGUCAUGUGCGUACAGCUUUGGUGUGGCGACACAUUGUCUAGUAGUGUUAGAAUGCACAGUAGCUGAGGAAAAGGGACACACUCUGCUGCUGAGCAUGGUCUGGUCGGAGAGCGCGGACUGAAUGCAAGUAACAGAGAUGGCAAUAGACUUUGCAGAAAUGAGACAGAACUCUGUGUUACGCAGGUCAGUUUGGAUGCGUCUCUUGCAACGAGCAGAACUUGCUGUGCAAACUUACUGAAAAUAUGGAAUCGUUGGAGGGAUCUCCGUCAUCAGAAGUGGGAUCUGCUUUGCCUACUGAUCGUGCCACCGAUCCGUAUUUGUUGG
rnacentral:misc_RNA from 1 species